AUUCUUCUUUUAGAAUUCGUUAAAGUAGUACAUAUUUUUUUUAAGUCCGGUAUCGGGAAAUAGUGUCGCCACCAAUGUCUCGCAGUGAAAACUUUUGGAUUUGUGAUGAAAAAUAUCAGAAAACUUUAAUUAUAAAAUGUUUUUAUCACAGUUAAACAACUGACAAAAGUAAAUUGCAAAAUUCGUUGUCGUUCACGUAACGAAAUAAUGCAUCUGUGAGGAGAGUGUGUUAGUGAAUCUAUAUUUUUUUGUUAUUACAUGUGCUCCAUGCGGUAUAAUAUUUUUUAUGGUUUUGGCAAAAAAAUUUAACAAAAAAACAAAGUAAAAAUUCAAAUUCGUUGAAAAUUUAUGAAAUACAAAAUUUUUAAAGUUUGAGUAAAAUCAAAAAUACGGAAAAUCAAUCCUGCUUUCCUCUACGUAACAUACUAACCUUAAAAACGAAAAAACUCCCUUUGGAAGUAAACAAUCAAUACAACAAAUAGAUCAGAAAAGGGACAUUAUCGGAAUUUUAAAUUUUCAACAUUUUUACUACUGGUAAUAAUAACAAUAACCACAAUGGAAAAGUCUGGGGUUAAUAAUCAAGAUUCGCGGAAUGAUGAAAAUAACGAACAAGAUAAGAGUUCAAAUGCUUCCGCUGAAGGAACUCCUGUAGUGGAUAUACCACGUCUCAAGCUUAAGAAAGUGAAUAAUGAUCACCAUGAGAAACGAGUGUAUAAAAUUGUACUUACUGGAGGUCCUUGUGGUGGAAAAACAACUGGACAGUCACGUUUAUGCACUUUUUUUGAAAAUUUAGGAUGGAAGGUAUUUCGUGUGCCCGAAACUGCAACGGUUCUUCUCAGUGGAGGAGUUAAAUUUUCAGAUCUAACAGAGAAAGAAGCACCUCCAACACCAACCACAUUUAAGUAUAAAAAUCUUCCCUUUGCCGCUCCGGAACAUAGUCUUAUCGAUUUGACCGCAUCCUGUCCACGUUGCUUGGCGAAUGCUGCCUCUAAGCCCAAUGGCAGCGAAGCAUAUAAGUUUCAAGAAAAUCUUAUCCGUACCAUGAUUCAAAUCGAGAACACCUAUUUCGAGUUGGGAAAAUCAAGUACACGUAACUGUUUGAUUAUCUGUGAUCGAGGUGUUAUGGAUGCUAGUGCUUACAUUUCAAAAGAGAAAUGGGAGAAAAUGAUGGCUUCAAACAAUUGGAAUCCUAUUGAAAUGCGUGAUAAUCGUUAUAAUCAAAUAUUGCAUUUGGUAUCAGCUGCUAAUGGUGCAGAAGAAUUCUACUCAACUGAGGAACAUGCUUGUCGUUCCGAAGGCGUUGGUUUGGCUCGUGAACUUGAUUAUAAGUCUGCCGCUGCUUGGGUGGGUCAUCCUUACUUUGAUGUUAUAGAUAAUUCUACAAAUUUCGAAACGAAAAUGAAUCGAAUGAUUGAGUCUGUAUGCCAAAAACUUGGUAUUGAUAUUGGUGAUCGUUUGCUGGCAACCUCAAGAAAACUUAAAUUUCUGGUUGCCUCAUUGCCUCCGGACUCGGAAUUUCCACCUUUCCAAGAUUUCGAGGUCGAACAUCAUUAUUUACAAUCAUCUGGACCCAAAGUCCAAGCACGCCUGCGUAAACGUGGCCAAAAUAAUCAUUACAGUUAUAUUCACACUAUUCGUCGGCCCAAUGUGCACGGCCAGUCUCGUAUCGAAGUAAAAACUCAAUUAACUCAACGUGACUAUAUAAAUCUUUUGGCUCAGCGUGAUGAUGCUCAUUUUACCAUUUAUAAGAAACGAAGAUGCUUUUUAGUUAAUAAUCAAUAUUUUCAGUUGGAUAUAUAUAAAGAACCAACUCACCCCAGGUGCAAAGGUUUGAUACUUUUGGAAACGUAUUCUUCAUUAUCUGGAGAGGCUUUAAUGAAUUGUUUGCCAAAGUUCUUAAAUAUAGUCAAAGAGGUUACCGGCGAUGCCGACUACUCUAUGUUUAAUUUGUCAUUGAAGGAAGAUUGGAGUAUAACAAAAAAAUUUUGCCAUUCAUUGUAUGAUAAUAAUACAAUAUAAAUAAAUCCUCGGGAAAUACUAAAUAGUCAUUGAUGAACAAUUGCCGUUGAUACAUAACUGAUAGAUAAAAUGCAGAGGAAUGUUCCGGCUACAAAGCAAAACAAGCAAAUGGAGUUUCGAAUAAACAAUUGGUUCUGAAUGGUCAUGCCAAGGGUUAGUUUAAAUUUACCUAAAACUAAAACUUUAAAAACUUUCUAUUUUAUAAGACUUUUCAAUGAACUUGACAUGAACCAAGUUUAAGGCGUACGUACAUUAUUAGUAUAUUCUCAGUUUUAACAUUGUGGUUUUGCAAAUUGAAUUAUUUUUGGUUCAUGUCAAUAUUUACUUACUACUUUCUACAAAAAUAUACAUAUACAUAUAUGAAUAAUAAUGAUGAUAAUAAAUUGGACUAGUUUAGAAAUCUCUCUUUUUGAA